rnacentral:rRNA from 1 species
AUGCUCGAUCGGCUCGGGGUGGACUUGCAGGAAGCCGAGGUGCGCCUUGCCAACGAGCACCUGAGGCUCGCGGCAGGGUGGCGUCAGCUCAACACUACCGCUCAAGAAAAACAUGCACGGGCUGAUGCCGCCAUCAUGGAGAGCAUGGAGGUGGCCGCCUGGGCAAAGGCGGCUCUCGAGAGCUCCCUCGCCGAGGUAGGGGCGGCCACCAAGCGUUGCGAAGAAGCGGAAGCCGGCCUGAAGGCACUUCAAGACAAACGGACCGCGCAGGCGCAGCUGCUCCAGCUGUGGGAAGACAACCUCAAGGCCCGCGAGACGAAGCUCGCGGAUCGCGACUCUGGGUUGGCGAAGGUAGCGGCCGAAUAG